GUGCUACAUUUGCGAUUUGUUGUUAAAGUGAAUAAAAGUGAAUGAGAAUAAACAAAAUAAUGAAAAAUACCAAAUGUCUUUUAAAAAAUUAAAAAUGAAUGAGAGAUGGGCUGAAAAUAUUCAACCACAGUAAGUUCCAGCUCUAACUGUAACUGCAGCGUUGUAAAUGAGCAAUUUCUCGCUGUUAAAGGUAGUUAUAACUACAUAUAUGUGCAAUGUACAUUGUAAAAAUCAGAAGUAUGUAAGAAAUAACAUUAAUGCCGGUAUUCUGCGAGCAGUCUCAAGUCUCUAAUAGAGACGAAUCUGUGGUGAAAUCUAUUUUGAGACUGUUUGGUAUUCUGGCGAGUUUGUCUCAUCUCUAAUUGAGCCAUAUCAGUCUCUAACUUGUUAUGUGCUUUGCAGCAGGUCAUAGAAAAAUAAGAACACAACAAUGGCUGAUGAAGUUGGACUAUUUUACCUUAUGAUGAAACAACGAGAGGAGGAAGAGAGCUACAUUCGCAGGCGCAAUCUGACUGUUUUGCGAAACAAAAUGAUCCGCUUUUAUACGAAGAGAACACAUUCAGGAAGUUCUUCCGAUUUCCCAAAUCUUUGUGCUGGGAUCUCAUUAAUCAACUCAAGCCGUAUGACCAACAGCAAACAUCGAUUCCAUUUGAACUUCGGGUGAGUUACAUUUUAACA